rnacentral:lncRNA from 1 species
AAGUUUUCCCUUGUUUCGUGUUCCUAAUCUCCCAACCAAAACAUUUGGUUGCAAAGCAUUUGUCCACAACCAUCAACCUAACCGAUCUAAACUUGAUCCUAGAGCCCACACUUGUGUCUUUAUUGGUUACUCACCUACACAAAAAGGGUACAAGUGCUACUCUCCAACCUUACACCGGAUGUUUGUGUCCCUUGAUGUUACUUUCUUCGAAAAUGAGCCAUAUUUUUCAGCCUCUCAUCUUCAGGGGGAGAUACUUAGUGAAGAUGAGACCUUGAGCAAUCUUCUCAUUAUACCUCAAGGCUCUAUCAGCCCUACCACCACUACAAAACCUGCUGAAAAUCCUACAGCCACUGUUAUUCCUGUUUUGGAACCUGUUUUUCCUAUCUCCACUGUUCAGCAACAAGAAACAAGGGUGAUUAACCAUACUAAUGAAGAAAAACAGCCUACUCAUUCUGAAAAACAACAAGAAAAAACUCGGGGGCUUCGUGUAUACUCUCGGAGACAUCAGCUGCCUGAGACAGAAACAGCAGUGCCAAUGCCAUCUUUACCCGAGGACUGUCUUGAGGAAGAAGUUUCACCUCCUUCAUCUUCCAUCUAUCUUCCAAUUGCAGUAAGAAAGGGCACUAGGAGCUGCACUCAACAUCCCAUUUCUCGGUUUGUAUCCUAUGGAAACUUGUCUAAAUCCUACAAUGCCUUUGUUUCUAAUGUUGACUCUAUAGAAACUCCAAAAAACAUAGAAGAGGCUCUUAAGUCAACCAAAUGGAGGCAAGCUGUGUUGGAAGAAAUAAAGGCUCUUGAAGACAAUGGAACUUGGGAAAUAUCUAAACUACCUACUGGGAAGAAGACCGUGGGUUGUAAGUGGAUUUUCACCACAAAAUUUAAACCAGAUGGGAGCAUUGAUCGAUACAAGGCUAGACUUGUGGCCAGGGGUUUCACUCAAACAUAUGGGUUGGACUAUGAGGAAACCUUUGCACCGGUGGCCAAAUUGAAUACUAUUCGAGUGCUUCUCUCAGUUGCUGUCAACUUAGAAUGGCCUUUGAUCCAAUUGGAUGUAAAGAACGCUUUUCUCAAUGGAGAAUUAAACGAAGAAGUCUACAUGGAUUUUCCGCCUGGAUUCGAAGGAAGCAAGGGCCAAGUAUGCAAGUUGAAGAAGUCCUUGUAUGGACUAAAGCAAUCCCCUAGGGCUUGGUUUAAUCGUUUUGCCAAAGCCAUGACUAGUAGACAUUAUACUCAAGGUCAAGCUGAUCACACCUUAUUCUACAAACACUCGGAUAAUGGGAAGUGCUAUAUUCUCAUUGUCUAUGUAGAUGACAUAAUUUUAACAGGGGAUGAUUCUAUUGAAAUUGAAAGACUAAAAGAGUUCUUAAGUCUUGAGUUUCAACUUAAAGACUUGGGGAAUCUUCGAUAUUUUCUAGGAAUGGAGAUAGCAAGGUCAAAGGCAGGUAUUUCAAUCUCUCAAAGAAAGUAUGUUCUUGAUCUACUUUCUGAAGUUGGACUGUUGGGUUGCAAACUAGCCGAGACUCCUAUGGAACCCAACCUUAAAUUAGGAACUGAUAAGGAUGGAGAAGAGGUAGACAGGAGGAGAUAUCAACGGUUAGUGGGAAAACUUAUCUAUCUUUCUCAAACUCGUCCGGACAUAGCUUUUGGAGUAAGUGUUAUAAGUCAAUUUAUGCAUGCUCCUAGGGAGAAACAUUUGGAAGCUGCCUACAGGAUAUUGAGAUACUUAAAAGGGACUCCUGGUAAGGGGUUGCAUUUCAAGAAAGAUGUAAAUCGAAGCAUAGAAGUCUACACUGAUGCAGACUGGGCAGGGGCAGUUAAUGACAGGCGCUCCACAAGCGGUUACUGCAGCUAUGUUUGGGGUAAUCUCGUGACAUGGAGGAGUAAAAAGCAAUCUGUUGUGGCACGCAGCAGUGCUGAAUCUGAAUAUCGAGCUUUGUCCCAUGGUAUAUGUGAAGGAAUGUGGUUACAACGGCUAAUGGGAGAACUAAAAUUAUCCUAUACAAAACCUAUAACAUUAUACUGUGACAACCAGGCAGCAGUUAGCAUAGCUCAUAACCCUGUACACCAUGUCCGUACCAAGCAUGUGGAAAUUGAUCGCCACUUUAUUACGGAGAAAAUUAACAAAGGGGAAGUUUGUGUUUCAUAUCUACCUACAAGACAACAAGUAGCAGACGUGUUAACCAAAAGCUUGAGCAAAAAAAUGUUCGAAGAAAUUAUGGGCAAGCUGGGUUUGAUUAACAUCUACACUCCAGCUUGAGGGGGAGUGUUGGAAUUCCUUAAAUUAAGCAGAUUUUCUACCUUAGUUCUAGGAAUUUCCUUGUACUAUUAGCCAUAAUCAAAUUACUAAUUUUUAGGGAUAGGCUAAUUUCUAGAGAUUAUUUCCUUUUUAUUUUUCCUGCUAUUCUUUAAAAGGCUGUAGUCAGAUUAGAAGAAAUAAGAAUAAUUCUUCUUCCUAAAUUUGUACACUCAUGAUGCUAGUCAGAACUUCAAAACAGAAGUCAUAGUUCAGUUUUCUUCUAAAUUUCCUGCUGCCAGAAAAACCCAGCUUCUCUCCCUUUUCUUUGACCAACAUCUCUACUAAACCAUGUUCUGGUUUUCUUUAUAUCCCAGGCAGGCAGACAUCCUAUCUGUCUUAAAAUAUUUUAUUUUGAUAGAGGACCAAUUGGAGCCUAUGGGUUCUGCGUGCUUUCCUUCUUUACUGAAAAGUGGUUGCACUGUCGAUUUAGGAGUGGAUUUCUUAUUUUUGCUGCAUAAUAAAUUAGAGAAAACAUGUUAGUCACUUGGAUUAACAGGUUAAUUGGCUGCUAAAUAUUUAUUUUCACAUAUAUGUUCCUUUCUUCUCUUUGAAUGCAUUUUUGUUGUAUUGUUUUUAUUAUACUCUUGUAACUUAUUUUUUACAUUGAGCCAAUUGUGUGCUUAGAUAAUUGUUCUUAACUUUUUUUGUUUAUUUAUUUUUCUGUGAUAUUGACUUUUCAGUCUAUCAUCCGAAGUAAUCUGCAAUAUGCUGCUCUAAGUGCUUUGAGGAGACUUCCUUUGGAUCCAGGAAAUCCAGCAUUUUUGCAUCAUGCUGUGCAGGGGUGAUUCUUCUAUUCAUUCUGAUCUCGAUUUUUGUUGAUGUCUGCUAUUGUUUUAUUGUGUUAGACGUCAGUUCCAUUAAACUGCAUCUGUAGCAUGUGAGUACUUAAAUAUUUGAGUGAGAUGAGUUUUGAUCUGUAAUGUUCAGAAUCUGGUUUCUUGCUGAAAUGAGAUCUUGGGUUUAUCUAUUUUUUUUAUUUGUUUUGUUAUCUGUUUUUUUUUUUGUGAAAAGUCACUAAUUUGUUAUCUGCUUUUCAUCUUUAUCAUCUUUAGCUGCUGACAUGAGUUAGUUUAGAAAUUGCUUUUAGCAUCAGAAAUAUCAAAAUUCUUUUUACUCUACACGUACCUUUAUUCUUAUUUGAAUUCGGGGUAUUACAAAUACAUUAUUCUACAUUGGUCUUUUGUCAAUAUAUAUAUAUAUUAUAUAUUUCGUGUUCCCUUGGUUUUUUAUUCAAUUAGUAAAACUUCAGAGUAUUCUGACCUUUGUUUCUUGAGUUAGCAUAUUGGUUAAAGUUACUAUUGUUGUUCAAUUGCAUUCCAUUGGUGUUUCAAUUUCUUGUUUUUUGCUGAUAAAAUUUUUUCUUCCCCUUUCGUCAACUUCUUUUUUUUUUUUUUACUGCAGUUAUCUGUUUGGCCCCAAAAUUUUGAAAGUCAUUUUGCUCAGUGUAAAAUGUUUUUUUUAAUUAUUGUUGUCUUGAGCUUGUAAAAUUUUUAAGGAGAUGCUGCUUACAUUUGGUAUAUUAACUUUUUUCCCCAUCACAUAAGCACAUUGGCUCUAGUUUGAUAUGCUUGCUAUUAUUCUUAAAUUCCCUUUUUAAAAAAAUCAUUUCAAGAUAUUGCUAAAUUAUGUAUCUUAUGUUCACUUCCAUAUGAUUAUUGAAGACCAAAUUUAGCUCCAUUAUUGUGUUUUAACUAAAACAUCCCUGUUAAUGCUUGAUUCGUCCCUGUUUUGUAGCUCUCUGCAUGUUAUGUUACUUAAUACAUUUUUUUCUAUGUUGUAGUUUUGGUAUCAUUUGACGUUGGACUUCUUUUUUCUCAUUGCAGGAUUUCAUUUGCCGACCCUGUUGCUGUCAGGCACUCUUUGGAAAUCAUCUCUGAAUUGGCCAUAAGAGACCCUUAUGCUGUUGCAAUGGCUUUAGGUGAGGUCAUUAAAUUCUUAAACAUUUCAUUUGCAGUUACUAGUAAAAGAAAUGAAGAAUUAUAUAUAAGUUCAUAGCCUUUUUUUUAUUUUUUUAUUAAUUCUAUCAUGUUUUAUGGGUGUUAUUACUAUUUAUAGUAUGGGUCCUUUGGGGUAUAUAUGGUAUUUGUAUGUUUUAAGGUUUUAGGUUUAGCUUGGUAGUACCAAUAUAACUUCCGUUUCAAGUAGAUUUUUGAUGAUUGCGAUGUGAAGAAAUUAUAAGGUCAUUUCUAUAAAGAUUGUCAAAAUUCAAAAAAUGAAUUUACUUGUUUGUGUAAAAAUAAGAGAGAUGUUCAAAUUUUAUAUGGAAUUUUUGAAAGGAAUUUAAGCAACUCAAAUUCCUUUUCCAAAUUCCAUCUAAACAGGUUGCUUUUCAAAAUUCUUCAAAAUCUUCUUUAUUUAACUCACAUGGUCCCACUAUAAAAUAAAAAACUUAUAUCUCAAUCAUUUAUUAAACUUAAUAUGUACUUUUAUUUUAUAUUAUAUUAUUGAAAUAAUAUAUUGCUUAUUUUCCAUACAUAUAUGUAUUUUUUUAUUUUUAAUACAAUUCUUCUUCUUUUAUAAUUACUUUUUAUCUCAUGAAAUUCUUUUGACUUAAAAUUUUAUUUUCAAAGUUUUUAUCCAACAAAAGAGAAUUACAAAUACAAGCUUUCUGGAAGAUGCUUUUUAAAAUACCUUGGUUUCGAAUUUCAUAAAAUUUUAAAAAUCUCAAUCAAAAUGCUGUAAGAAAAAUUAUGAAGAAUUCUAAGAGAAAUUAAGAUGAAUUCUAAUGUAGCUGCACAUAGUCCUCCAAUUCAGUGUAUUAAAUCCCUUUCAUUUAGCUUAUCGCAUCUUGAGAUUCUUGGAACAAGAGUCCCAGAUUCUGGUAAUUGAAAUCUCAUUUUUUUUCCCUUGCGUGUUUACAUUGGGCUUGUUGGUCCAAGUGUUCAAAUAUGAAGUGCUGCCUUCAUUAGUGCCUAAUACAUGUCUCAUUUUUAUGCAGGAAAGCUUGUUGCUCCAGGAGGUAUUUCAUUCCAAUCAUUCUUCUCCAUAAUGUCAUUAUUAGUCUCUCCUUACUAUGCUGAGUGUUUUGUCAUUUACAAUUUUGAAAGCUGUGAUGUUUAUGGAUUUUAUAUUCAAUUCAAGAGCAACUAAACAGAAAACUUUACUGUUUCUCAUUCCAAAUGAUAGCUUUUUGCAUCUAUUUAAACAAUAUACAAUAAUUAUUCUACGAAAGAAAUCAAGAUUUUAUCCCAAAAUAUUAGCCUAUCCCUACAAACCAGUCAAUGUCUACAAUAUUUCUAUCCUUACAAAUCUGGAAAAAUUAUAGCUAAAUAAUAGGAGAUUUGCGGCUAAAGAGUCCAUGAGAUUCUCCAACCUCAAGCUGGUGAAUAGAUGUUCUCCUUUCCCAACUUGCCAAUGAUCACUUGAAAUGAAGCAUCGGAUAACCCCUUACAUAAUAUGUCUAAUGAUCUCUUGAUAUGAAGCAUUGGCUAACCUCUUAGCUAAUAGGUCUGCCAUCUACCUAUGUGUAGGAACAUUAGUCGUACAAAUUAAUCCGCUUUUUAACUUCUCCUUUAUAAAGUGGGGGUCUAUUUCAAUAUGUUUGGUUCUCUCAUGCCGAAGAUUGUCGGUGAUACUAAUAGCCUCCUUGUCGUCACAAUAGAUCCUCAUUGGCCCAUUUCAUUUAACCUCAAGAUCAUCCUAGAUGAUCUUUAUCCACAAGAGUUCACAAAUUCCUUGGGGAUAUUAGUCCUAAACUCUUGCUUUAAACUUGAUCCUGCCACCAUCGUCUGUAUUUCUUCUUUUCCAUGUCACCAAGUUCCCAAUAUCUAGUAGUCUAUCUCUUAUCAGUGAUAGUACUUACCCAAUCCACAUUUCUAUAAGCUUCAACAGUUUGAUCUGUAUUCAUUCUAAACAUAAUACCUUUUCUAGGUGUAGCUUUAAGAUAUCAAAGUACCUUAUAGACAGCUUGAUGGUGAACAUUUGUAGAUGGUGCAUGUACUAGCUUACCACACUAAUAGCAUAUACAAUAUCUAGUUGAGUAUGCGACAAGUAGAUCAACUUCCCUUCUAGCUUUUGGUAUCUUUCCUUAUCAACAACUUCGUCGUCUUUUGAUCAAGUAUGUGACGAGUAAAUCAACCACCCUACUAGAUAUUGGUAUCUCCUUAUCAAUAGCUUUGUCGUCUUUUGCUUCAUUGAAUUUAUGGUUUAGUUUGAUGGGUGUAUCGAUUGGAUUACGCCCCAAAAUCCCCUGUUUUUUGAAAAAGGUCAAGAGUUUGAUUUUGUUGUGUCAUAAAAGUUCCUUAUUUUGACGUAACCACUUCAAUUCCCUAGAAAUAUUAGUCUUCCGAGAUCUUUAAUCUCAAACUCCUGUGCUAAUUUGUUUUUGAGUUCUUGCAUCUCUUGUUCAUUAUUCCUAGUAACAAUUAUGUUAUCUACACACACAAUCAACACUAUCAUUCUUCCCUUGAGUGAGUGUUUGAUAUACAAGCUAUGGUCUACUUUGUUUGUAAAAUUCCAGCAUUGCUCAACAAUCUUCAAACUUAAGCCCAAGGACUUUGUUUCUGCCCAUACAAAUCCCUUUUAACGUGCAAAUUUGUUAUUAUCAAAAUAUUUUUUAGUAGUUCCAUGAACACUUCUUCCUUUAGAUUACCAUGUGAGAAUGCAUUCUUUACAUCAAAUUGCUGCAAAUAUCAAUUGAAGCUGGCUGCUAAAGACAAGAGUAUAGAUACUAUAUUCAUUUUUGCUACAGGUGCAAAGGUUUCUUGAUCAUCCACCCCAUAAGUUGGAGUAUAUCGCUUAGCUACUAGUUUUUCCUUAUAUCUUUCUAAGGAUCAAUCAACCUUAAAAACCCACUUGCAUCCAACAAGCUUCCUUUUUGAGAAAUCUACUACUUCCCAAGUUCGGUUUUUAUUAAUGCAAUAAUCUCCUUUCAUAGCAUUUUUUUGAUUCUUAUCUCUAAGUGCCUUUUGAAAGUUUGGGUAUAGGAAUGGAGUUUAUUAGGGUAAGCAAAUUUUUUUUGUUGUUGUGAAGUUUUGUCUAAAGAAACAAAAGGGGAUUUGGGGUGUUGAGUGCAACAUUGAGUUACUUUUCUAAUAGCUAUGGGAACAUUUAUCAAUGAUAGGCGAAGGAUUUUGGAUUUUCAUACCUAAAUGCAAUUGGACUCUUGAGCUUGCACCGAUAAGGGAUUGGAUUCUCUUUUCCUUGAGUAUAGAAAGAGUGGAUUUUUAGUGGCUUUGUCUAAUCAGGAUGACUUGGUUUUCUUUGGGUUAUAGUUUUAGGUUGAGAGUUUGGUUGGAAUUGAAUUUCUAAUGGAAUAUAUAUUUGGUUAGAUUACAUGGUUUUAAAUUGGGAAUUUGGCUAGAAUUGAGUCUCUUUGGGUAAUAUAUACAAGGGAUUUGUCAGGGUCGAGGCUUGAUUCAAAAAAAAAAUUUUAGGUCUGAGCUCGAGCUUGACCCUCACAAGCCCACCCAAAUGGUUUGUUUCAUUGUUUAAAAAAUAAAAACUAAUUUUUAUAUAAUUUGAUUAUAAUUAUCUAAAUAUUAAUAUAAAGCUAUUUUUAUAUUAUUAUUUUACAUAGUAAAACGUGUUGGGUAGGCUACUUGGCCGUGAGCACCUCUAGCUGGAUGUAGUAGAUGGUAAAGGUGGUAGCAGUAAAAGGUCAUCAUUCUUAUCUUCCUCAAUAUUUUUCUCCCACCAAAGAUAGAAUUAGGAAAAAAUGGUUUGUCUUUCAACAAAUGUUACAUCCAUAGAUGCAAAAAAUUUCAUGAACAAGGAUGAAAACAUUUAUGCCCUUUUUUUGCUGAAGAAUGACCUUCAAAAAAGAACUUUAGGGCUUUGGGUCUAGUUUUCCUCUAUUGUGAAUAGAACAAAACUAGCACACCCAAAAACUUUUGGAGGAAGUUUGGUAAAUGGGAUUGGAGUACUUCCAUUUGUCUCUUCAAAUCGAGAAUUUUUGAAGGCAUCCUAUUUAUCAAAUGGGCUGCUAUCAAAAAAGCUUCAUACUAGUAGGCUUGAAGGACAUUCACUUGAAACAAGAGGGCUCUUGUGACUUCAAGUACAUGGGACAAGGUUAGGUUAAAAUAAUCCCUUGGAUUAUAAGCACUUUGACCUUUAACACUCACUCUUAAUUGGUUUUUAAAUGGAACAUGAUGGUGUUUGGCCAACUCAUGAACACCACAAUGUAAACUAUUUAUAUCAAUAUUUUUAACAGCAAAAGAAUUUUUUUUUCAGUAACGAAAAUGGAGAAUGUUCUAGGCAUCAAUGAUGUAGCCAAAUCUCCUUUGUUUGAAGAUGGAUGUUUAGAAAAAUAGGAUGGAAGUAGAUUACAUUGUCACUCUUAGCCUCUAAGAUAUGGUUUCCAUCCGUUUCCUUAGCACACCCAACCGUUCUCCUAGUAGGUAGAUCUUGAAAAGCACAAUCAUUAUUGUAGAAAGUCACUAGGACUAAGGGAAUAAGUGACAAAUAAAUGAUGGAAAUUUAUCAUAUGAUUGGUAGCCCCUGAGUCUAUGGCCCAAGAGCAAUAGAAUUAGGAAACUUGUUUGAGCUAUACGCAUGAUGCACUAGGUUUCUCAAAAGAGUUAAGUAGAUUUUGUCACCUUUCAAUCUCUUCUUUAAAGAGUUUUCACUUCCUGGUCCAAUUUGGUUUGAAUUUUCAGCAUUGGGAAAAUGAACCUGUUGCCUCUGUCCUCUCUUGGUUCAACCUGCACUUGGAGGCUUCCCAUGGAGACGGUAAGCUGGAUUCAAAUUUUUGUAAUUCUGCAUUUGAUUGUUUCUGAGAGGCUUUGAGGAAUUAUUUUGGAUUCCUACCAUUUUUAAGGUGAUACCCAGCAAUGAGAGCAGGGAGUUUCUGGACUGUGGUUUAACAAUUGAGGCUUUAAAUGAAUGGAGAAUAGUUUUCUAGAAUACCUACCGUGUAGAAAUCUUUACCAUUUCUUAUAUCAAAUGAUAGCUAUAUGCCUCUAUUUAUCCAAGAUAAAAUAGGUAUUCGAGAAAAGAAAUCAGAAUCCUAUCCCCAAAAAAUCAGCCUAUCCCUACAAAUCAGUCUAUGUGCCAGUUUACCAUUGUGGUUAAAAAGUGCUUUUGAAAAGGUUGAACUGUUUAGCAUUGUUUUCAAAAAGUGAUUUUGAGGAGAUAAAUGUCUAUUUUAGAUAUUAUGUUGUAAAGUAAAAACUAUGUAUUUCAAUGAUAUUCAAAUUUGUUAAUAUUAUGUUAUAUGGAAUAAAUAUAUAAACGUAGAUCAUUAUUUGUAAAAUUUAAUUUGAAUAUAUAAAUCAUAUUUAUCUUUUAGUGUUAAUGUAAAUGAAGGGCAAACUUAUAAUUUGACAACCAAAUUGAGUUUUGAAAAGCCAAAAAUUAGAAUUUUUAGCAUUUUGGGUUGGCUUGAAAAGCCAGUUUGAAAAGCUGGUUUGGCUUGAAAAGCACUUUUGAAACUCAAUGGUAAACGAGUCCUAUGUCUACAAAUCUGUGUAUCCUUGAAAAUCUAGAACAAUUAUAGCUAAUAGUAGGAGAUUUACAACACGACCAUAUUUACAGCUAAAGAAUCCAUGAGAUUCUCCCCAAGAAACAGCUUUUAUUCUUCCGGUGAUAAGAAGCAGUAUCAAAUAAUCCAUUAAAAUGAGAAUCAAUAUGUGCUGAUAAUGAUAUUUUUUUCAUGUAAAAUUUUCAGUAAUCAAGUUAUUUCUAUAAUUUUUGGUGUUUAAUUGAUAGGCACUAGUAUUCUGCAUUGCUGCUUGGAACUUCAUGAAUUUUACUUGGUUUUUGUUUAGUUUUUUGUUUUAUGACGUUUAGUUGGGAACAUCAUGAAUUUUACUUGGAACAUUCUAAGUUUUGACUUGGAAUGACCAUUCUGAAUUUGCAUUCAUAUGUUGGAUGAUUGAAUAAAAGUUUACAUGCGACUAUUUGCGCAUAUGGACUUGCUUAAGCUAGUUGAUCUCCAUCUGGACACUCGUUGCUUUGUUUAUCGAUGCUAUGAAUUUGUUUUAAACUUUUUGGUAUUGAAAUUCUUGGGAUGUUUUGUAAUUUAUCCAUUGUUAAGUUGAAUCAAUUUGUUUCUGGUUUAAUUAUUUUAGAUUUGGGUAGAUUUUUGAAUUAAUGGAAUUGAAAUGGAUCAUUCAAAAUUAAAAUAAUAUAAUUUGUUCUUUUUAUUAUUGCUUCAAAUAAUAUAAUUUUCCUUGUGUCAUAUAUACUUAAAAGUUUUUCAUUGAAUAUUCCAUUUGAUUGUUGCUACUAGUGGCAACCAUAGAUUUUUACUACAACUCACAAUGAUACCAGAUAUGAAAGUCCUGGAUUUUUUAGAGAUGGUGGACGGAUGACUGCUGAGAUGUGGAAGUAGUGUGGUGGUUGGCAGUUGUGUUGUUGGUUGUGUAAAGAUACUUUUAGAUGUCAUUUUGGAGAUUAUACCUAUUUAGGUGUAAUAUAGAAAGUCUGCCAAUCUUAUAGACUACUGUGUAUACGAUACAAAUGAUAAGAAUAGAUAAUUGAUGGAUCCUUCCAUUUGAUCCUUAUCAGUGCCUAUCAAACUUGAGCACAUAUAAUCUCUUAUAUACGCUCUGGUUGUUACAAAUAUUUCUCACUAUACAUAUAGGUUUAGUGGCCAUAGUGGUCAGGUGAUCUGUGGAACGAAUUUUUUAGGAAGCUCCUGCUAAUCUUUUCAAAUUUUAUGACGUGGUUAUUAUUUAGUAAACUAUUAUUUUCUGUUAGUGUCUGCUUUACUUAUGCAUUUCCUGAAUUGAUUUUGCUAACAAGUGUCUUUAGGCACUUUCUAGGAUUAGUCUAAAUUUGAUAGUUGGUACUUAAUUUGAUUAAUUCCAAUGCAUUGGCAGAAGCUAUUUCUGCACAUGGUAACCGUAAGAGUUCCCUUACGUAAGUUGUUAGGCAAACUUUUCUUGAAUAUAUAUAAAAAGAUGCUUGGAGACUAUUUAACUGCUCAGAAAUGUACUCGAACUCAGCACAAUAUUCAGCACAUAUGUGUCAAAUGACUGGUAGACAACAAUUGAAGACACUCUUCUACCAAUAUGCAUUAUCAAUGUCUACAAAUGUUUCAUACUCUUGGUUCUGUAGGAUUCCUCAAGGAAUAACAAACUUGAUUAUUUGCUUGUGUGCAUUAUUCUGAUUUCUCAUCAGAAUCUUGAGGAGAUUUGACAAUUGUGAAAUCCUUUCCUAAGUCUGUUAAAUAUGCUUAAGCUUCCUUGAGCCUGUUCAUAUUAGUAGCAGUUGGUGUUUGGGUGUAUUUUUGGGCUCUAAAACCCCUGCUAAAAGCAACAAACUUUGAAAAAUAUCAGUUCUUAGAUUUCCAGCUGUCUAAUCUUGGGCGCUGGAAUUUUCCUUAAAAAACUAGACCGUCAAAACUUGCCCAUGUCUACUAUGGCACUUAAUAAACAACUUUAUAUAUUGAAUCAUGUCGUAUGUUUGUCUGGUGGAAAAAAAACUGUCAUGGCAUUUUAGGGUUUUAUUCAAAUCCUUUAAUUUUAUCCCCACGGCUUAUCAUGUUUUCUUGGUGCUGCGGUUAAUUUUUUGGGUACUACAUGAAUCAGGGGCUUUGCAAGAUGUUCUUCAUUUGCAUGAUGUGCUUGCUAGAGUUUCACUGGCCAGGUUGUGCCAUACAAUAUCAACAGCACGAUCAUUAGAUGGUAAGUACAUUGGACAAAGCCUUCUUGCAUUUAUUGAAAUGCUUUAGAUGACCCGUUUCACAACUGUGUUUGAGUAGAGAGGCCUGACAUUAAAUCUCAGUUCAACUCUGUGCUCUAUCAACUCCUGCUCGACCCCAGUGAAAGAGUCUGUUUUGAGGCAAUUUUGUGCAUAUUGGGUAAACAUGAUAACACUGAAAAGUAUGCUCUUUAUCUUAUUUUCUUCUUGAGCUUUCUUUGUUCCAUUAUCAUCAUUCCUUUAGAUGGCUGUAACUGCUUAAAUGCAUUAUUGUCACAAGUUCCUGGUCUUUCAUUUACAUGCUAUAGGACAGAAGAGCGAGCUGCAGGCUGGUACCGCUUAACUAGGGAGAUCUUAAAGUUACCGGAAGCACCGUCAAAUUCCAAAGACAAAUCUCAAAAGACGAGGCGACCACAACCCCUCAUUAAACUUGUAAUGAGAAGGUUUAUAAUAAAGCUCUUUCCCUUUCUCUUUUGUUGAAGCUAAUAUCAUUAUGUGGCUGGAUCAUUUUGAAAGAUUUGUUAUUUGAACAAUGGAAAAAAUAGUCGGUUAACUCCCCCAAUUGUUAUCUAUGUUUCAUGGUUUUCACAUUCCAUCUUAAUCAGGUUGGAGAGUUCUUUCCGUAGUUUCUCUAGACCAGUACUCCAUGCUGCUGCUAGAGUUGUCCAGGAGAUGGGAAGAAGCAGAGCUGCAGCACAUGCUUUAGGCUUACAAGAUCUUGAUGAAGGAGCUUAUGGGAACAAAUAUGACUCCAUGGAUUCAUUUGAUUCAGAUAUGAAUGACAGCUCUCAUCCUGAAGGUAAUGAAUGUUAUUUAUUCAUUAAUCUAUUAGUCUUUUUUCUUCACUUUGUACUGUUUCAUUUCUAUCAUGAGGUCUUCGUGCAAUAAUUAAGUUAUAUUAAUAUCAAUUUUUUGGUCUCUUGAUUGUGUUCAUUGGUAAAUUGAAUUUUCCUUUUGCAUUACUAUAAAAAAACAGUUUUUUUUGAGGUUGCAUAUUUGGCUUCUUUGAAAUGAUUUAUGCUUGAACUCUUUCUGGUUUUAUUUGAACAGAUCAGAUAUGGUCCAUUUGGUCCCCUGAGAUUGGGUGGCUGAUAUUUGAAUUUUGAUCUCUAAAUUUGAAAUCUAUUUUUUGUAUUAGUAAACAGCAUGGUAUAACUUGGGUCAGAAUUCACCAAGGAUUUGAGGAGCUCAAAUCCAUGUACUUUAAACACCCACUGAAGUGAUGUAAUUAUAUGCAUUGUUGGCCUUGAUAACUUGUUCAUUACACUUUUCAUCUCUUAGUCAUUCUUAUACAUACUAUCAGCUCCGGUUAGCUUGGAUUUAAAUCUCUAUCACCACCAUUAUUUGAACAUUUACCUCACAGUGAUCCCUUCCCCUAAGAUGCCAUAUUUGUUCCUUUGAUUCCAUUCUCUUGAAUUAUCCCUCUGCUUUCUUCCUGUAAGAUUUUCAACUGUUCUGGAAAAUUAAUGCCAAGAGGAAAAUAGUAGAAAACGACUGGCAGAAAUCGGCAUCUUAUUUGGUCUUGGAAAAAGAAAACAAAAAAGAAGAGGAAAAAUAGGCAAUUUCCAUGGUAUUUCUAUAUGUUUCAUGCAAUUCAAAAACCUUUAAAGAAAUUGAUAAAAAGGGGGUCCAUGAGGGUUGCCUGAUCAUGAAGCCCAAAAUUUCUAGUCCAACUAUUGUUUAUCAUGUUGCCUUAAGCAUCUUAUUUUUCAUGUCUAUUCUACACGUUUCCUAGCUACAUUUGUGCCCUUGUUUCUUGUUUUUACUGGAUGUAAAUGAAAGAUGAGAUAUCAUCUGCUUGUAGCUACUGCUAUGUUUUGUUAUUAAGCAAUAUUGAUGUUUUAACUAUUUUCAGAAUCUGUUGGAUGUUCACUUGAUGUUUUUAUUAUUAUUAUUACAGUUAUACAUUUUUUACAUUCUUUGUUCUCUUUCUGUAGGUAUCCGAAGAACCACUGGAGUAUCCAAUGCAGCUGGUGGCAAGGAUACAAUUGCAGGCAUGCUAGCUUCACUCAUGGAAGUAGUUAGAACAACUGUGGCAUGUGAGUGUGUGUAUGUUAGGGCAAUGGUGAUCAAGGGGUUGAUUUGGAUGCAAAGUCCGCAUGAAUCAUUUGAUGAACUAAAAUCCAUUAUUGCAUCGGAGCUCUCUGACCCGGCCUGGCCAGCCACACUUUUGAAUGAUAUUUUGCUGACAUUGCAUGCCCGUUUCAAGGUACAAAAUGGAAACAACUUAUAAUAUCCUUCUGCAGCAUGACAAACUUUUAGUAAAAGCAUAAUCAUUUAAUCCUUUUAUGAGGCUGUCUGCCUAUUCUCCGCUCUGUUAUCUCUAACAAAUUGGCAUAUGUAUUAAGCUUACCUUUGAUUAAACUUUCAUUAUUAAGAAUAAGAAUGCAUGUGUGACUCGUUUGUUUUUGAUUGACUGCUUAAGGAAUUGAUUUUUGUUAGUAUAACAUAAGUUAAUGCUAUAUAAUAUUCAGGAAAUGUCAAUUGCAGUGAUUCUCUUCUGAGAAAAAGCCUUCCUUGUGAUAUUCAAGACUUCCUGUAACUAAGUAGGAGGAUUUGUGUUUCAUUCCCCGCUAGCAUGAAAGAACUUGAUUCAUUUCCAUCCUCAAUACUUCUGAAUCAUGUAUACUUGAUAAUCAAUUCAAGCUUGGACAACAUUAUUACCAUGCCUUUAUUGUGGAUUUAGAAAUGAUAGUAGAAAUUCUUUGAAUCCAUUCUGUCUGAUUUAGACUUUGUAGCGAACUUUGAUGUAGAGGAAUGUCUUUGUCUUUGAAUUACUUGUAGUGAAGAGAGAGAUGGGGCAGCAACACACUUUUUCAAAUUCCAGUUAAAAUUUCUUAAAAUGAAAUGAAAAGAAAAGAAAUCUUUCUUAGGUACAAAAGGGGGCAAAUUCUAAAAAAUUUUGAACAGAAGAAUCUAUUACAGUAAUCUUGUUACUUCUGAAAAUGAUAAAUCCUAAAACCAAGGGCCUUUUUUUUAAUGUAUAUUUUUCAUUUUACAUCUGCACUCUUACUGUGCAUAACCCUAUAUUGAUCAAAGCAGUGACUGAAUAACUAUGUUUGGAAGUCAAAGCUAAUCCCAUAGAUAUCUCUUCUAAUGGUUUUUUAGGGCUAGUAAGUUGAACUGAAAUGCAAAAAAAAAAAAAAAAAAAAAAAAGAAAGAAAGAAAGAAAAUGAUAGAGGACUAGACUAGCUAAUAUAUAGCACAAAUGGGCUGACAUGAACUGUAAAUUGAUGAAUGGCUACCCUUUUACUGGCUUGGCCAUUUACAUCUCUGUUUCUUUGCGAAUUGGAUAUGUCACACAUCAACUUAACUGUAGACCUUGUAAACUAAUUUCUAGUAUUUUUGUUAAAAAACUUACUGAAUUUAUUUAUCAUAUUUCUAGUUGACCAAAAACUUCUGAUAUUCACCCCAUCUAUUUAACAAUGCUUAUUGACUGAGGGAUUGAGGUCAUCACCCAAUAGAAACCUAUGGACUUAAUUUAUUGAAAUAAAAGAAAACGGACUGAUUAGUCCUAACAUUGGCUUGAUGUGAAUGAAUGCUGGGGACAGGAUUGCCUGUAAUGUAAUCCAAUGAUACACAAUUUAUUUUAUUUGUGCAUAUGCAGCGAUGUACUCCUAAAAGCUUGAGCUUUUAUAGGUUUAGUACUGAUGCUGAAACAGAAAUGAUUGCAAUAUUUAUGUUUAAUGUUUUAAUCACUGCUUUACCAGGCGACACCAGAUAUGGCUGUCACACUUCUUGAACUUGCAAGGAUCUUUGCCACUAAAGUACCAGGAAAGAUCGAUGCUGAUGUUUUGCAGCUUCUUUGGAAAGUGAGUUUCCUUUCAAUCUUCUUAAUAAUAGAUUUUGUACCUGUUGCAUUAUCUGCCUUUACUUGUUAGAGUGUAAAUUACUUAUUUUUUGUAAUCAAACUUUUAAUUAUAGAAAGAAUUUUCAUUAACCUAAUAGUUAAAUAAGCUGUUAGAUUGCCGAUUGGUGAUACCUAUUGGUUAGCUGUAACUUCUAGUUGGUGUGGAGGAGUAGUUGGUUAGGUUAAUGGGAGGAGUGUUUUUGCACAAAUUCCUGGUUUGAGGACAUGAAUGUGUUGUUUAGAAUUGUUUUGGCAAAAUCAAUAAUUGAGCCAAAUUUUACAAAAACUGCAAUUAUAUUUACUCUAUUUGCACAUUAUUAAUCGGAUACCCAUUUUUUGUUUCUCCUUCCUUUCAGAUUCAGGUUUAUUAUCCUUUAUGUAUUUGCUUGUGUGGUUGUAGUAACUUUUACGAAUUGAUUUAAAUUGAAGUUCAACCACGUUAGCUAUUCAUUCUUAAAAUAUUGUAUAAUUGGGGGGGGGGGGAGAUGAAACAUAGUGCAAGGCAGGAUGCAAAUUACCUCAUUCCCCCCUACCUCCAUGAAUUUUUAAACAACUUUAUACACCCAUGCCUUGCCAAAAAGUACCUUUUUUUUUCUUCAUAGAAAUUUUAUCUUAAAGCAGAUAACUGCGCUUUUCUGUGUACAGACACAUCAGUUUACACUGUAUAUAACUACCAAUAGUUUUGUAUUGGAAACGAAGCAUCUAUUAGAAAUUUGAUGUACCAAUUUAGUUCAAGUUUCUAGAGCUUUAAUAACAAAAACUCUGAGUAGACUUGUGCAAUCCAUGGGACAGAUUGAGUUUAAUCAUCCCUGGAUGUAUUGAUUGAUUAAAUUAUUGUUGUGUUACCAGACUUGUCUUGUUGGAGCUGGUCCUGAUGGGAAACACACAGCAUUAGAAGCAGUCACUAUUGUUCUAGACCUCCCACCACCACAGCCUGGAUCAAUGUCCGGGUUUACAUCAGUAGACAGGGUAUCUGCAUCUGAUCCAAAGUCGGCUCUAGCAUUACAAAGAUUGGUCCAAGCAGCUGUAAGGAUCCUUUCUGUUCAAUUGUAUUUGCAUUUUGAGUUAUUGUUAUGCUAAAGUGAGUUGCUUUCAGGUGUGGUUCCUUGGGGAAAAUGCUAAUUAUGCUGCUUCAGAAUAUGCUUGGGAAUCCACAACGCCUCCAGGUACGGCAUUAAUGAUGUUAGACGCGGAUAAAAUGGUGGCUGCUGCAAGCUCCCGUAAUCCCACACUGGCUGGUGCAUUGACUCGACUCCAGAGGUGUGCUUUCAGCGGUAGCUGGGAGGUAUGAGUUUUAAUUGAUAUGUUUCUUCUGUGAUUGCAUCUUUAUUUCCUGUAAAUGUAUUAUGAUUUGUGCUUAUUUUUACCGACAUUAACUGAGGUUUGUAAAUAGCUUUGGAUGGUGUCAUGGUUUAUAAAGCAUGUGCUUGUAUUACUCGUGUGCAAAUGUACAAUAUAAAUUGUCAUAGAUGACUUUUUGUGAUAAAUAAUUUCCAACUUUGACAUCUAUUAUAUUAAAUUUUAUAAAAGUACAAAUAAUUUAUCAAAGUUUCAAAAAAAAAUUCAUAUUUUUCUCAAUAAUAAAUAUAAAAAAGAGGUCAAAGUUGAAAUGUUUUUACCAUCAAAAGUUAAAAUGUGCAAACUUUUGAAACGAUGGGAGUACUACUUUGGUGUGUAAUUGUCAUAGUGAUACAUGCUUUUGCUGGAAAUUAUUAAUUUUUCUGUGAUAUGCAUAGUGUCUGUUUUUUCUUGUAGUUUGCCUCCAUUCACUCUAUUUUCAAUUUCUCAGGUUUGCUAGGAAAGAAAGUCAAAAGUGAAAGAAGGGAGAAAUAUAAAAUAAAAUAAAAAGAUUUUUUCUUAAAGUGGAUUGCUUGGUUCAGUUUGGAAAAUGGAAAGCUUUUUUCCCUUUUCUUUCUAAAAUAGAAAAAUGGAGUUAAGAGAAUUAUAGUUAAUUUAGUUACUAUUAUAUGUGAAAUUAAAAAAGAAAUACUUAGUCAAAAGAGACUAUGUAAAAUUAUAUUGUUUAAGCAUCAAUCCUAAAAUCAAUUGAUAUUAGUUGGAGGGUCUAACUUUUAAUAUAGGACCCCAGGAAGCUCCAUACUUAACAGAUUUGGAGAUAGCACACGUAACAUUGCCCCUCAUAUUUAUCUCAUUGAGGCUACAUGAGGACAACCUCACCAAGGUUGUCAUCAACCUUGCAUGGGGUUAGGCUAGAAAAACAACAUAAUAAAAUCUGGGCUCUGAUACCAUGUUAAAAUCUUGCCUAGGCAACAAUUAUUAUCUUCUAUUAUUGGAGAAAUUGCUGUUGAAAAUAGUCGUUCUAUGACAUGUGACAGUAAAACUAUUUGGUUAUGUAUUCUCUGUAAAUAAUUAUUUUUAUCCUUUGUUAUGUUCUCUUGGUUUGUUGGCAAUGGCCUAUAUUUGCUCUAAUUUUCAAGUUUCCACUUUCUUUUUAAUUUGUAUGGACAUCUUAGGUUCGCAUUAUUGCUGCUCAAGCCCUUACAACUGUGGCAAUCCGGUCUGGUGAGCCAUUUAGGCUACAGAUCUAUGAAUUUUUACAUGCCUUAGCACAGGGUGGUGUGCAGUCUCAGUUAUCUGAAAUGCAUCUUAGUAAUGGAGAAGAUCAAGGAGCCAGUGGUACAGGGCUUGGAGUUCUAAUAACUCCUAUGAUCAAAGUUCUUGAUGAAAUGUAUAGUGCACAAGAUGACCUAAUCAAGUAUGAUUGUAAAUCUUUCCUACUUCAUUGUAACCCUUGUUUCUUUUUUUUUUUUUUUUUGGGGGGGGGGGCUUCAAAAUGACUAAUGAGUUACGGGUGUCCAUAAUCAGGGAAAUGCGCAGCCAUGAUAAUGCAAAUAAGGAAUGGAAAGAUGAAGAGCUUAAGAAAUUAUAUGAAACCCAUGAGAGGUUGCUGGAUCUUGUUUCACUGUUUUGUUAUGUGCCACGAGCAAAGUAUCUCCCUUUGGGGCCAAUAAGGUAAAGCUUGUUACAUCAUUUCUAGUGUAAUGGGGGGAGGGGGAAUGGAAAAAAGAACUGUUGAUUGAAAGCAUGAAAUGCAUCCCAUGUACAUCUGUUUCCAUUUUUGGUACUUCAUUCUAUUUUGAAGUCACUAGUUGUUCUCAUGGCUUUUUUUUUUUCUUUUUCUUUUUUCGAAGUGCAAAACUCAUCGACAUAUAUCGUACACGGCAUAAUAUUAGUGCCUCAACUGGUUUGAGUGAUCCAGCUGUUGCCACUGGAAUUUCUGAUCUUGUUUAUGAAUCUAAACCGGCCACUACUGAAUCUGAAACACUGGAUGAUGAUCUAGUAAAUGCUUGGGCAGUCAACCUUGGUGAUGUCCCCGCAGUGAACAGGGUAAGAAAUUAUGUUUUACUUGAUUUGGUUCAAGUAAUCCUUCUAUUUAAAGAUUAUGGUUCUAAAAUCCAAUAACUAUUCUCUCUGUGUGUUGUUAUUGGUGUUUUGGAGAGUUGGAGGGGGAUACAAUAUAUAGGUUAGAUUCAUGGAAAUUUAUCAAGGUUGUGCUUGUUUGGUGGAAAUAAAAUAAAUUUUAGCGUGCUUGGUAGGAAAUGAAAGUGAGAGUAAAGAAAAUGGGAAAGAUGUCCAUUUUUUGUUAUAAUGCAUAAAAACAAUUCAAGUCAAGAUUGGAAUAAUAAGAGGAGAGAAAAUUAGAAAAAAGAAAAUCAACUCUACCAAGCAACUAAAGGAAGGAGAUUAAUUUAUCAUUUUUCAUAGUAUGAAAAAUUAGGCUCCGAAUGGUUUGAUAAAACAUUCUGUUUUUAGUUUUUAUUUUCAUUUUCAUUUUCAUUUUUUUUAACAAUUAUUCUUUAAUUUUUGAAAAUUGAAAAUGAACAUCUAUUUUAAAAUAUGAAAAUAUAAAAACGCAUUUUGUUCCUAUUUUCUUAUAAUAAAAAUAUGAGAAAUAAAAGGAAAAAAAUCCUAUAUUUAUCUGGACAUAAGACAUGGUCAAAGAUUUGAUACUUAAAAAUGCUUGGGAAAAAAGAAUAUUUCUUUCUUUAUAUGGAUUUGAACCAGGUUUAAUUCAUCAAUUAAAAUUAAAAUUUCCUUUUUUUCUACUUUCUAAUUUUACAAAGCAUUUUUAGUAAAAACAAUGAAGGCAACUUUUUUGUUCCCUAAUUUUCACAUUUCCAUUUUCAUUUCUAAAAAUCAAUUUUUAAUUUUUCGACCAAACAUGCUUUCUUGAGUAUUUCCCAUUUUCCAUGAGGAUGUAGACGACCUUUCAUCUUUUCAAUUUUGUUCCAACUGUACCAAGCAAAGCCUAAAGGAUCCUGAUACAAAUGUGUUUUGACUGAUCAAUUGCGAGGUUCUUUGAGGAUGGAAAUUGUAUCUAAUAUGAUUGUACUCUGUUGUACAAACCGAGGACUAGUAUCUUCAGGUAUCCAGUUUGCAGUAACCAAACAUUGGAAUGUUGCAUAGGAAUUUAUUUUCAUCUAAACCUCAGUAAUUAUGUUCCUGAUAUCUUUCUAUGGACUCUGUACAAGAGCUGAGAACUGAAGAUGGUAUCAGCUUAUGUAAAUCUAUGAGCAGCAAAGAAUAAGGAGAGUAUCCAGGGUUCACAUUGAUCUUGAAGAACUUAACAUACUCACUAGCACUUAUUUGCAUGAAACAAUAAAUUCAUUUGUUUAAUACUAACACGAUAAAUCAUAAGUAAUCAAGUUUUUACCAGUGAACAUUUCCUAAUGGAGGAAUACUGGUGAUGUAGUACAACUGAAUGUUAAAAACAAAAUAAGAUAACCACUAAAUUGAGUCUAAAUUACUGUGGACGCUAGGGGUAAAUCAAUUCUUUAGUUUUAGACCUUGAUUACCAAUAAUCCUCAUCUAGCCUAAUCUUUUUGAAUGUAUUGAUGGAUUACUAAUUAGUCAUCCAUGCUCUUUAUUUAAAGCAUAGUACACUUGUUCACCUUCUGGUUUGAAGUUUUCCCACUCAACCCCCAACAUUUUUUCACGUGAAGUUUUCCCAUUAAGGCCUUGUAUUUUCUUUUCCCUUCCACAUUUGGCAUCCUUGGUAUAUUAUUUCACUGAAAAAAGGUUGCCCUUUAUGGUGAACUGAACCAUUGAAUUCUAGUGUCAGGAAAAUGAAGGAGGCUGUUACAUGGGAAAACUUUAAACCAAAUAUGUGUUUCAGUGUGUAAUUUACCCUAAUCCAUGUUUAAAACGUAACUACUUACCAUAGGAUAUCGAAUGACAACCAUAAUAAUUUUGCUGCCUUGAAGCUCUGUAUUACAUUACAUGGCCACAUCCAUUCUGUAGUUGUUUUUUAUCAUCCCAUUAAAGUUUACUGAUUUUCUUUAAACAGAUAUAUUUCAUGGCCAAUAAAAAGGUAUGGGAUCUUUAGCUUUUAUUACACCAUACUGUCUCACGCAGGUCUGAGGAUGACCUAUCACUCCAAAAGGUUGUCCUUGUAUCAUAAUGUUUGCAUUAAGAAAGAAGUUCUGAGUUACUUUGCAAGAGUUAUUUGAAACUUAAGAUGAGGCAUAAUUAGUGGUUGCACACUUCUGCACUUUACCUUUUUCUCUUUUAAGGUUUGGUUAAUAAUGUUCCAAUUGAGGUUCAUGUUGUCUUUACUUCAUGGUAGGUCAAUGAAUUUCUUGCUGGUGCUGGAACUGAUGCACCGGAUGUUGAUGAGAACAUAGUCUCUAGACCUUCUGUUAGUUAUGACGAUAUGUGGGCCAAGACACUUUUGGAGAGUACAGAAAUGGAGGUAUGAAUUCUUCCAAAUCCCUCACAAGUUGGUUGUUAUAAAUUCAUUUGUUGGCAAAAUGGGAUAGGACUUGUUAACCUGCUUGGAACCAUGUAACGACUCAAAACUCAAGAUUGAACAAACUUAAAACCCAUAAAACUUGAAUGCUUCAUUAAUCAUUAGUGCCCAAAUGGUUUAAUUUUAAAUUAUCAUAGUUAUUGAGUUUUUAUUGCUGCUAACUUUUGGUAAUAUGCGAAUUAAUUGGUCAAUAUAUAUUAAGUUAUUCUUCAACCCAAGACAUUUUUACUAUUCAUUAAUUUUAAAUUGUCAACAUUGUAAAAUGUUAAAUUGAAACAAUAUUAACAAUCAGUUCUAAAUAUCAUGUUGUUGAAUUUCUUAUAAUUUCUAAACAUUAAAGUUCUUCCGGUAAAUUUACUCGUUUAAUAGUAUUCUUCUUGAGUUAGCAUUUGCUUUAUGAACAGAAUUUUGUUCUCCUAAUAAUCUCUACUAUUCAAUGCUGCAAUGCAAAAUUUGCCUAUAUUCCUUUAUCUAAUGUUAAUGCCUGUAAUUUACGAGCACAAAAAAGAAAGUUAAAAUCUAAGAAAUUCUUAAAAUUUUGAAAUAAAUGUUGAAAAUCGAUGAAUAAAAGGGAGAAUAAAAGUACACAAAAAUACUAUAUAUUUAUUUUAAAUUUCAAUUUUGUUCUUUUACAUGUUAGUCUUAAAUUUUUUAGACAAUCAAUGAUCUAUGUUUGACAUUGAUUAUGAAAAACAUUAUUAUUAAUGCAUUGAACUUUAUAGAAAAUGGCAAUAGAUUAUAUGAAUCUCAGAUUCAAAACCUGCUCAAAUGUACACACCUUGAAGGCUUGAACCCAAAUAGUCCAAAUAUGAUGUGCUUUACCCAGCAGAUCCAAAGCAUAAGGGAACCUAAUGGGUCUGAGCUUGAAUUGGUUGGAUCUGAGAUGACCCUGACCCGAAUUAACUUGAGGAGGACAACUUUACUUGAGAACACCUGAUUCCCACCUCCAUGUAUUCGCUUGGAGUUUGAAUUAUGUACAUUUUAAAGCUAUCUGAGAUAUCGACUCUUUCAAUGGUAUUUCUUGAGUUGCAGGAAGAUGAUGUCAGGUCAUCAGGGUCCUCUUCUCCAGAGUCAACAGGAUCAGUUGAAACUUCCAUAUCGUCUCACUUUGGUGGAAUGAACUAUCCUUCACUCUUCAGUUCACGACCAACUACUUAUGGGGCUUCACAACCUUCAGUAUGUAUAAUACAAUCAACAUUCUUGGUUAAUGUUGUGGAUUUUCAAUUUAGGAGAAUGGUUUCUUUUAUAAGAUAACUCGGUCUUCUGACAUGCUUGGCUAUGUUUCCUUUCAUUUACUCAUACCAGUUUCUCAGAGGGAUGGGUUACCUAUUAACUUUAAGCAGCGCACUUCUUGUUUUAUUUAUUUUUCAAUGGAUUGAUUAGGAAGUACUAUCUGUUGAUUAUAAACUGACGAUUCCCUCUCCUAUGGGCAUGCCGUUAUUUUGCUAUUAAGAUAACUGUUUUAUUUGAGGGAGGAAAAAGGCAUAUGUUCUAUUUUAAUGGGCCUAAAUUAAUUUUUGCAUUUAUUAUUAAGUGGAAAUUUAAUGGGCCAUUUUUUUCCCAUCUAUAUAAUCAUUUUAAGGCUGUUAAAAGUGUGAUGUUUGUUGUCGUAGUGGAAAGCUAAGUGCUGCUUAAUCAAAUUGGCAGGUUGUGUGAUGUAAAUGCCUAGGAGGGUGAAUGCUUGUUUUGACUUUUUUUUACUAAGCGUGGUUUUCCUGUUGGUUAUUCUCUUUAACGGCAUAUGGUAUGGCUACUAGCCAUGUGCAUGGUGAGAGUACCUAGCAGGUCCCUCUAGUAGAGGGACUAGUUCAAAUUAGUCCCUAUACUUUUAAAUGGAUCAAUUUAGUCCUUGUACUAGUAAAAAGAUUUAAAUAAGGUCAAAUUUUAACCAAGUUAACAUUUACCGUUUAAUAGGGUUUAUGCUUUUAGAGCUUUUAUGGUUCUGCAAAUGAAAAAUAAUUUUCAUGUCAUUUUUUAAGCAAUAUAUGUUAACUCUAUCAAAAUUUAGCUUUAUUUGAUUAGUUUUUCUAGUACAAGGAUUAAUUGAUUGAUUUACUAUUAGGGACUGAUUUGAACCAGCUCUUAUAAUAAAGGGACUUGACAAGUACUUUCACCCAUCAUGCAUACUAGAAAUUUAAGCAUUUGUUUUAACUUGAGCGCUUGCUUCCUAUGAAAGAUCCUAUCUCAUGGUACUACUCUAAUUAAUUGCAACGGACCGCCAGUUGACUAUAUGGUGCAUUUUUAACAAGUAAAUUUUUUGUUUAGUAGUGCUUGCACAUGUUCCUUGCACAUCGAGCUUUUUUUCUCUAGAAGCAAGAGUUGUUUUCAUUAAUUAUUAACAAAGUGAACAAAAAUGUUCACUGUUGUUUGUGGUAAAUCUUAUUUUACUUCUCUUUAUCUCUUAAUUUGUAAUUUGGGCCCGGUUCAACUUUCUCUAGCAGGAGAGAUCAGGUGGAAGUAGAUUUAACCAUCCUUCAUCAAUGCACGAGGGUUAUGGUUCUCCAGUAAGUGUUCCUUGCCCAUAUGCAAUUUGUUGUGGUAUCUGCAGAUUUAUGUAUUAGUACUGAUUCGUCAUUCUCAGAUUAGAGAAGAGCCUCCACCCUAUACAUCACCUGAACGGUAUGAGUCUUUUGAAAAUCCCUUAGCUGGCCGCGGGUCCCAUAGUUUUGAAUCCCAGGAUGAUGAUCGCAUGUCUUCUGGAAAUCCCCAAUUUGGGACUGCCUUGUAUGAUUUUACUGCAGGUGGAGAUGAUGAGGUAAGUUUACUCUGCUAGUUGGGAUUGUAUUGUUCAUAAUCGAUUUGCUAGCUUGCCUUUGGUUCAGCAUUAACCUCUGGUUUUGAUUUUUUUCAAAUCAUAAGAAAGCUGCAGUUAUGAAUUUUAUUUAUUAUAUUUUGGUAAUGUAGACAUUUAAGCCAAUUAGGUUUCCUUUUCUAUUAUUAUUAUGUGAUUAAUAAGCAUGGUGCUAUAAGUAUAUUAUCUCAAUGGGGUCGGGUGCUGUUAGCAAUAUUAUGGCAUGUGCUAUAUUGACUGGUCGAUGUUGUUGUCAAGGUUGGUUCUAAUCUGUUGAAGUACAGUUAGCUUUUGGUUAAAGGUGGUCGUGGGAGGUUAUUACUCGGUAUAUAAAUGUUGUUGUAACUGACGUAAGGAUAAGUUUUUGCUGGCUAUUCUCUUCAAUGAAAUCAGAUUCAUUCUUCCAUCUCUUUCCAGUUUCCUCUUAACAACUUAGCUUUCUUUCUUCAUUUGCUCGUCUCUUGUAGUUUGUCUUUUGUGGUUUUUCAAGAGGUGCCUAUGCGCUGAUGACUGAUCCUGAUUUCCUUGAUCGCAGUUGAGCUUAACAACUGGAGAAGAGGUUGAGAUUGAGUAUGAAGUUGAUGGAUGGUUCUAUGUAAGUACCAUAAAAUAUGGUUGCAAAUUUGGGAUACAAUCAUGCUUAAUUUAUUAUGUAUCAAAUUUUGUCGGGUGAAAGCACCUGUGUCCGAUUCAUCCUUAUAUGACAUUUGUACCUUUCUCUUUUGUGGUAAAGCCAGCCCCUAAUGAAGCAAACUAUUACUAUGUAGUAGGUCUAAUGAACUAACACACACUCCAUGCUUUGUUGCAGGUGAAGAAAAAACGGCCUGGAAGGGAUGGUAAAAUGGCUGGGUUGGUCCCUGUUCUUUACGUCAGUCAGAGUUAAAAGUUCGGAUAUCUCUCAAUAGAAGCUUCUGUCUUGGGCUCGUCUCAUCUCAGCUUGGAUAAUUCUAAUAUCCUCCUUUUUGUGAAGUUUUAUUUUACCAGUCUUUUCCCCCGCAUAUGAUACCCGAUAGGAUAAACAUGACAAGAAAAUCGGCAGUUUAUUGUGCUUUUGCUGGGUUAUUAUUUUUUUAUUGGUUUCACGAAUCAUGGAAGCAUUUAGUUGGACUUUUCUUGUGCGUGUUCUGGUUUUAGAGAGAGAGAAUAACAUGUUUGCUAUUUUGGAAAUUGAAUUUGAAUUAGAUAACAUGCAGAGAGUUAGGGAUUGCAUUUCAAUUGUAGCAGUAUAAAUUAUUUAUGCUCGUUAUCAAAUGCAGUGGAAUUUGUCAUAUAUCGAAUUUGUUGUACAAACGUGAAAACAAUAGUAGUGGGUUGGUGGUCGAACUGGUUAGGUUAUCGAUUUGUUAGUGUAACUGAUUUGAACAGUUUAAUUAAAUAAAUUGUUAAAAAAUAUUAAAAAUCAGUUCAAUCUAUGGUCCUUUGGUUCAGUUAGAUUGUAUUGGUUCGUUGCUUAAUUGCUCUAAAGCUUCUCUUUGAAUCGCUAUUUCAGUUGGUAUUUAGAUCUGGUCGGUUUAGUUAACCACGCAUGAAGGAAACACUGGUUAGAACGGGUGCGUCAUAUUAAGAUCAAACGAGUUUUUGAUUGAUUGAAAUGUGAACGUCAAGUUUUUGAAAUCCAUGUUGUCUAGUCAAUUCAGUCACGAACUUUAUAAAAAGAAUAGAGUAAUAACUCUAUUACAUGUUAUAUGUAAUAUUUAUAAUUUUUUUUUUAUGAAAAUAUAGUGAAGCUUUAGUUGAAAUGAUUAAGUUUAAAUUAUAAAUUUUUUGUCCAAAGUCCAAAUUUUGUCAUAAUAUCAUUUUAUUAAAUAACAUGAAAAGAUACUUUUAUAAUGAUAUUUGUUACUUUGUGUUAUAGAUUUUUAGGGAUUAGGGUUUAAUAAUAGGAUUUUAUUUUAUUUUAUUUCCUUAUUUAUACUAUAUCGACUUUUGUAAAUAGUUUAACUGUAGAAAUGGAAUAGAUAUGACUUUUUAUUAGUAUGUUCUCUUAUUUCGUUCUUUUAUUUGUAUUCGUUAUCAUGGCAACAAAGCCUGGUUAGCUUAAUUUAGUAAGUCGGGUUUCAUUGUUUUGAUUGCGAACUGUUUGGUUAUUUGUGGGUUAUUUUUUUCGAAGUUUUUGUUUGGUAAACAUUGUCAGUACAAAGAGGUGUGCCAUCAUCUCUAUUGACGAUCUGCACUUUCUAGUUGAGGACACAGGUCGCUUGUAGAUUUGUAGGCUUACUUACACACCAACAUAUGGGCGUGUGGAACGUCAUCUCGCCACUAGCUUUCGUCCCCGAUGUCAACUCUCUUGUCUAACUUUAACCAGUGACCGGUUGUUUUAUCGCAGGAGAUUUCGUGGGUUGAUUGUUUAAUUUUUUAGAUUUGGUACUGUUUGAGUGUACUAUUUGCGUGUAUUGUUCACAGGUACUAUCUGGAUUCAUUGUUUAAGUACUAUUUUGGGUUGUUUGAAGUAUUUCUUUUUGUGGGUUUCAUUGUUUUUCAUCAUAUCAUUGGCCCCUUUGCUUUGUUUGCGGAUUUAGGAAAGUAUUUCUCUUCAUUUAAAUGGGUCAUCGAUUCAGUAACUACAGAUCAUAUGAUAAGUAAUCUUGACUUUUUCUUUACCUUUAUGUCACCGAAUUUGUCUUCUUUUAUUACUAUUAUUGAUAGAUCCCCUAUAAAAUGGUUGAUUUUAAAAGUAUUAACCUAAUUUCAUCUAUCACCUUAUCAUCUAUAUUAAAUUUAUCUAAUAUCGUCUUUAAUAUAUUCUCAGCCAGUAAACCUACCAAAGACUUGCUCCAUGUUAUUUUUUCCUGAUCAUUGUAUUUUAUACGAUCUUAUGAUGAAGUGUACUAUUGGUAAAAGAUAUGUAACUAAUGGCCUUUAUAUUUUUGACUCGUGAGUUCCUCAAUUCAUGGCUUGUCCUAUUGUUCUUAUUCUAAUUGAAGCACAAUGCCGAUUGAGGUAUGUUUCUCUUUCUUUGUUGAGGAAGCUAUGUCCACAAUUGUAAGACCCAUCUUCAUAUGAAUGAAAAGCAUGUCACUUUGCGAAGCACCAAUGGAACUUUUUAAGAUCAAGAUCUAACAAACGAGCUAGUUUUGCUUCUGAGUUAGUACGCUCAGAUGUUUGGGGACCAUGAUAAGUAAUAUCUAAAUAUGUAUUUGGAUAUUUUGUUACAUUUGUAGAUGAUGAUGUGAAUAUAUUUUAUGAAAAAUCAGUCAAAUGUAUUUUCUAAUUUUCAUUAUUUUUGUGCUAAGAUAAGAACUCAAUUUAGUGUGCCUGAAAGUAAAUAUAUAAUUUAAAUAUUUAUAUAUUUUAUUUGUCACGAAAUAUCUUUAAAAACUUAGCUAUUUAUUAUUUUAAUAAAUUAUUAUACAUUAAAAUUAUAUAUUUUUACACAAAUUUUAAAUUAGUAUGAGAUAAACUAUUGAUAUUACUAACAAAUUUAGUCUUUAAUAUUUAUAUAUUUUUAUUAAUUUGACAUUAAUUUUAUUUAAAAAUUAUAAAAAUAAAAAUUCAAUAGAUGUUGGUGUGUGGGAAUAAAAUGAACUUAUUAAGAAAUUAACAGAAGCUUUUGAGGCGUUUAUCAGUGCCAUACUUUUAAGUUUUAUUCGCCCCUAUAUUUUUAUAAUCGGCAGAUGAAUCCUAAUGAUACUAUAAGCUCAAUGACUAUAUAUGUUUUGCACUAUUAAAAAUAGUCCAUUAAGCACUUAAUGGAACAUAAUUUUUAAAAUGAAUUUCUACAAUAAUUCUUUAUAAAAUAAUUUAAGAAUAUAAAAAUUGUGGAUGAAAAGAAAGAAUCUUUUGAUAUGUUUUUCUAGUGUGUCAGAUAAAUGAAAUUUGACUCCUAUUUAUAGGAGUUAUUAUGUUUCUUUAAAGGAACACAACUAUCUAACUGAAUAGUCACAUGUAAUAUAUGUAUCAUUGAAUAAUAAUGAUUUAUUGUUAGUAAUAAAGUGACAUAAAUUUUGAAUUUAAAAGAUAUAAUUCAUUACUAUAAAAUGCGAUAACUUUUUAUUAAUAAUCAAGUGAUAUAAUUUUUGAUUACUUAAUAACUAUUGAAAUAUUAUAUAAAUUUUAAAAAUAUUCCAGCAAACACAUACACGCAAAUAUAACAAAUAAUAGGCAAAUAAAAUCCUAAAAUUUUACAUAACACUAUGAUAUAAUUAGCACAAAUAAAAAAAAGAAUGCAUAAAAAACAAAAAAAGAAUGCAUAAAAAAGUGUUACUUUUUUUCAAAUGUUUUAGUAGAUGAAUUAAAAAUAAAUUAAAAAAAUAAAAAAAAUUAAUUUCGAAGUUUUUUUAAAGAAAUUAUUAAAAUAUAAGAAGAUAAAAAGAAACGAUUAUUAUUAUUAUUAAAUUUUCAAAGUUUUAGAUAAUAGUAUAGAUAGAUGUAAAUAAAUCAAAAACGGAUAUUGUUUUGUCUAGCUGAUUUGCGUUUUCCACAUUUCAGUCCACUGUCUUCCUCACCUUAAAAUAAAAUUUAUGGAAAUGCCUUGUGGGUUUUGUUUAAGGUUUAGAGCAUGUUGAUGUUGGGUUUUACACAUUUUCUUACUAAAUGACCACUUCCACGGUGUACUUUAGCCACAAUUUAAAGCUACCCCUAACCUCCUUAUUCUCUGUCGCUUGGCGUAAUCAACCUAGUUUUUUUGUUCGAUUCAGUUGCAAACGAAAACGGUUUUGUGGGUUCGUCGCAAAUGCGGAAAAUGACAAUAACGAAUAUUCUAGGAAAAGGAAAACAAACUGGUGGGGAAGGUUCUUUUUCGAGGAUGAAGGUAAUUGGCUUGGUCUCAAGGACGAUGACAUGGUGGAGGAAGUUGGGGAUGUGUUGUCAGAUUCGGAGGAGGAUGAGGACUUGUUAGGGGGAGGCAAAUUUGAGGCAUGGAAGAGGAGGGCUGAAGCCAUAAUCGAGUUGAGGCAAGCGCAAGAAGAUAUGAGGAAUGAGGAGAGCAGAAGAUGGGAAGAUUGGAUUGUUGUUGCGGAUGGGGAUGAUAACAAGCUUGGUUCUGCAAAUGACUGGGAUGAUGGUGGCGGUGGAGGUGGCCUUGGCCUUGGCGUUGGGGAGGAAAACGGAAACGGUUUGGUUCGGUCUGUCAGAGAUUUGGUUAUUGGGAGUGGAGAUGAGGAUGUCUUGUACGAGGAUCGUGUUUUUCGAUAUGCCUCCUUCAAUUCGGCAAGUUAUUUUCGAAUUAGUGUAGAUCUUUUAGUUUACACCCUUUCUUUGGUACACUUAAUAGUUAAUAAUCCAUCAAUUAAAUUGUAAAGUUUCCUAUCUCUAUUUUAACUACCAUGAUCUAGGUGAACAGGACAGAGUUGUUAAAAUAUUAAUCCUAUACAAGUUAUGGAAGUGCUUAGUUCUACACUAGUGUAUAGAAAUUAUGAAAGUGAAUCUCUUUUUAUAUAUUGUCUAACUCUACAUUGUUUUAGUUUACUCACCAAGAUUCUAUGGGUUUUAAAUGUAUUUGCUUAUGUGAAAUUUUCAAGUGUAUUUUCUUAUAAUAAAGUUGUUUUGAGUACUUAUGACC